CUCGGCCUCCCAAAGUGCUGGGAUUACAGGUGUCGCCACUGAGCCCGGCCGUCCAUUACUAGACUCUUAUCUGUUCUAUUAAUUUGUUGGACUAUCCACCACUACCUACCAUGCUGUCUUGACUACUGCAUUUUUAUCAUAUAUAUUGGAAUCAGAUAGCAUAAAUUUUCAUGGGAGAGAAGCUGAGAUAAUUGGUUUGAAUCUUUUUGUUCUUUUCUAAUAUUGAUUUUCAUUGUUAAAAAUACACCUGAAAAUACUGACUUAACUGAAUCUCACAAAUAUAUACAUUUCAGAAAUAUAUAUUACAUAUUUAAAAAUUAGAUAAGUUUGGUUGAUAAUAAUGCUCAUUUCUACCACAUUGCUACUAGUUUUCUAUAUGUAUAAUGUUUAUUAUUCUCCCUUUUCUCGUUUCCUAGGAAAUAAAAACAUAAAUUUAGAACUCUUUAUCCAACACAAGUUUUUAAAAAAAUGAAUGUGUUGUAAAACCGAUGUAAUGACUUAAGAUUUAAGUCUUUAUAAAGACUAUCAAACAUAUAUAGAUUGGAAAGAGUCAUCACUUGCAGAGCAACACUAUAAGAAAUGGUAAUAAAAAAGCUUUAGGCAGGAAAAUAAUACCAGAUAAAAUGCUUUAAAAAUGGCAAACACAUAAGCAUAUAAAAUAUCUUUUUAUUUUUGUUUAUUCAAAAGAUAACUGGAUGCUAAAAAAUAAUGACAAUGUAUUCUUGACACACCAAAAUAAAAAUUGUGUCAUAAGAAAAGAAAUCAGCUUUGACCAUCUACCAUACCCAGAGAACAAAAUAAAACAUGACUGUGUGAGUUAAAUAAGACCUUUUCUGCUUCACACCUAUCCCCACUUCCAAAACUCCCUGGAGCGUGUUGUUGUUUUUGUUUGUUUAUUUGUUUUAAGAAUGUCCAAAAUACACAAAAUCUAUCAGAAAUUUAAUCAAGUGACAAGGAAGAAAUAAAAUGAGUACAAGUCCUUAGUGGGAAAUUUUAAAAGUUGUUUGUGAAUGUAUCCUAUCAAGAAGAAUCAAUUCAACACAAUGAUUUUGUGGAUUUUGGAAUGUUUAAUAAAACUAUAUACCAAAGCAUUAAAAAUGAUGUAUUAAUGGAG
rnacentral:lncRNA from 10 species